rnacentral:rRNA from 1 species
UACGGGGGGAGCAAGCGUUGUUCGGAUUUACUGGGCGUAAAGGGCGCGUAGGCGGCCACCGCAAGUCAAUUGUGAAAUCUCCGGGCUUAACUCGGAAAGGUCAACUGAUACUGCGGGGCUAGAGUGCGGAAGGGGCAACUGGAAUUCUCGGUGUAGCGGUGAAAUGCGCAGAUAUCAGGAGGAACACCUAUAGCGAAGGCAGCUUGCUGGGACGUUACUGACGCUAAGGCGCGAAAGCGUGGGGAGCGAACAGG